rnacentral:lncRNA from 1 species
UUCUGUGAUUAGUGGAAGGACACUGGACGCGGGAGUGCAGUGAGGUGGAUUAAAGCGUCCCUUCUGUCAGUUGCCAACGGCGGGAUGGCAGCCAAGUCAUUUUGUCCUCACAGCUCCUCAAAAUCUGCGGCUUGAACUAGGGAAGGAAACAAGCAUUUAGGGAGCGUCUGAUUUGCACCAGGCACCGCGCUAGCCCUUUUCCUGUUUCCCUCCUUCCCCUGGGAUUCAAAGUUGACCUUGGAUAACUGAAACCAUGGAAAAGGAAACCAUUGAUAAGGGGUAAAGGCUAAGGGGCAACAUGCAUCUGGUUUACUUAUCUAUGGAAGUCAUUCAUCGAAAGUCAGAGAGGUCGCCUAGAGAGUCAGGUUGGGCUGAGACUUGAAGACCACGUCCUGCCUCCAAGUCCAACGUUAUGUUCCACU